rnacentral:rRNA from 1 species
UACGUAGGGGGCAAGCGUUGUCCGGAAUUAUUGGGCGUAAAGAGCGUGUAGGCGGCCAGAUAAGUCCGCUGUGAAAUCUCGAGGCUCAACUUCGAGCUGUCGGUGGAAACUAUCUGGCUAGAGUCCGGAAGAGGAGAAUGGAAUUCCUGGUGUAGCGGUGAAAUGCGCAGAUAUCAGGAAGAACACCCGUGGCGAAGGCGGUUCUCUGGGACGGUACUGACGCUGGAGACGGCGAAAGCGUUGGGGAGCGAACAGG